AGCCAAGAAGCUAAUUGAACAUCAAAGUUCGAAGCUUCGUUCGUAACUUCCUUAGCAAUGAAGUCGGGACUGGCUAGUUUGGUAAUAUUCACGGUCUUCAUUCAGCUCGUGUCCAUCGGUGUUCAAGCCAGCACUCGUCUACCAUUUCUGAUAAAUACUCAAACUCUGGAACCAUAUCAACACGUCACCGUAACAGGUUGUAACAAUAACUGUGAUAUAGCUUGCUGUUAUUGUGAUAUAAGAAAACGGCCUCCGCUUUGUGUCCAGUGCUGCAGAGAAGGCCUUUGAUUCCUAGGGUGAUCUGCCAAAGAAGAAAUAAAGAAAUGCAGUUCGAGAAGAAAGCAAUCGUGGAUCAAACAUGGGAAACAUAUUCUUGAUUUUAGUCGCUUUUUUUUCAAAGUUUUACUCUUUAAGAAAAACUUAAUUUAGACCAAUAAAAAUCAGGCCUGCAAUUAUUUUUAUUUUUAUUUUAAAAUUUUCUUGUGUCUAUUCCAGCAUCAAAGAAUAACCAUGUUCUAAUUAAACUACUAGUCUUAAAACAA